rfam:Helianthus annuus linkage group 8, whole genome shotgun sequence.
GAGCUAAUGAUGAGAAAUACAAUUAUCUUAGCGGAUUUCAGUGAGAUUACUUACUUUUAAUUAAUGAUCUGAUUGUUACACACACUGAAGCUC